CCUACGGGAGGCAGCAGUGAGGAAUAUUGGUCAAUGGCCGGAAGGCUGAACCAGCCAUGCCGCGUGAAGGUCAGUGCCCUAUGGGCGUUAAACUUCUUUUGUGCGGGAGCAAUAAUGGUCACGUGUGGCCAGACGAGAGUACCGUACGAAUAAGCAUCGGCUAACUCCGUGCCAGCAGCCGCGGUAAUACGGGGGAUGCAAGCGUUAUCCGGAUUUAUUGGGUUUAAAGGGUGCGUAGGCUGUGAGGUAAGUCAGCGGUGAAAUGCCCCCGCUCAACGGGGUGAAGUGCCAUUGAUACUGCCUGGCUGGAAUGCGGAUGCGGUGGGAGGAAUGUGUGGUGCAGCGGUGAAAUGCAUAGAUAUCACACAGAACACCGAUUGCGAAGGCAUCUCACGAAUCCGCGAUUGACGCUGAUGCACGAAAGCGUGGGUAUCAAACAGGAUUAGAUACCCGAGUAGUC
rnacentral:rRNA from 1 species